GACGAACGCUGGCGGCGUGCUUAACACAUGCAAGUCGAACGGAAAGGCCCUGCUUUUGUGGGGUGCUCGAGUGGCGAACGGGUGAGUAACACGUGAGUAACCUGCCCUUGACUUUGGGAUAACUUCAGGAAACUGGGGCUAAUACCGGAUAGGAGCUCCUGCUGCAUGGUGGGGGUUGGAAAGUUUCGGCGGUUGGGGAUGGACUCGCGGCUUAUCAGCUUGUUGGUGGGGUAGUGGCUUACCAAGGCUUUGACGGGUAGCCGGCCUGAGAGGGUGACCGGCCACAUUUGGACUGAAGUACGGCCCAGACUCCUACGGGAGGCAGCAGUGGGGAAUAUUGCACAAUGGGCGGAAGCCUGAUGCAGCAACGCCGCGUGCGGGAUGACGGCCUUCGGGUUGUAAACCGCUUUCGCCUGUGACGAAGCGUGAGUGACGGUAAUGGGUAAAGAAGCACCGGCUAACUACGUG
rnacentral:rRNA from 1 species